rnacentral:rRNA from 1 species
AGCGAACGCUGGCGGCAGGCCUAAUACAUGCAAGUCGAGCGCACCUUCGGGUGAGCGGCGGACGGGUGAGUAACGCGUGGGAACGUGCCCUUUGGUACGGGAUAACUGAGGGAAACUUCAGCUAAUACCGUAUGUGCCCUACGGGGGAAAGAUUUAUCGCCAUUGGAGCGGCCCGCGUUGGAUUAGGUAGUUGGUGAGGUAAAGGGUCACCAAGCCUACGAUCCAUAGCUGGUCUGAGAGGAUGAUCAGCCACACCGGGACUGAGACACGGCCCAGACUCGUACGGGAGGCAGCAGUAGGGAAUCUUGCGCAAUGGGCGAAAGCCUGACGCAGCCAUGCCGCGUGAAUGAUGAAGGUCUUAGGAUUGUAAAAUUCUUUCACCGGGGAAGAUAAUGACGGUACCCGGAGAAGAAGCCCCGGCUAACUUCGUGCCAGCCGCCGCCGUAAAAC